rnacentral:rRNA from 1 species
CCGGCACGGGUGAGUAACACGUAUCCAACCUGCCGUCUACUCUUGGACAGCCUUCUGAAAGGAAGAUUAAUACAAGAUGGCAUCAUGAGUCCGCAUGUUCACAUGAUUAAAGGUAUUCCGGUGGACGAUGGGGAUGCGUUCCAUUAGAUAGUAGGCGGGGUAACGACCCACCUAGUCUUCGAUGGAUAGGGGUUCUGAGAGGAAGGUCCCCCACAUUGGAACUGAGACACGGUCCAA